rnacentral:rRNA from 1 species
UACGUAGGCAGCGAGCGUUGUUCGGAGUUACUGGGCGUAAAGCGUGCGUAGGCGGUUUUGUAAGUUUGGUGUGAAAUCUCCCGGCUCAACUGGGAGGGUGCGCCGAAAACUGCAAGGCUGGAGUAUGGGAGAGGUAGGCGGAAUUCCUGGUGUAGCGGUGAAAUGCGUAGAUAUCAGGAGGAACACCUGUGGUGUAGACGGCUUACUGGACCAUGACUGACGCUGGAGGCACGAAAGCGUUGGGGAGCAAACAGG